CACACACACACACGCACACGCACACACACACACUCAUUCAUCUCCCCCUUCCCCCCAUCAGAACGAGUGUGACUCCCCCUCCCUCCUCCCCCACCAGACAAUCUCUCCUCUCCUCUCGGCUCUUAAUGAGAGUCUGUUUAAUUAUUUCAGCAGGCGGACCGGGGUUCGGCCUUGGCUGUGAUUUGGGACGUGAGCGCCGUGCUGAUGGAGGACGGAUCAAUAAUUCAGGCCUCGCUCUCCAUGCUUUAGUGUUAAAAGGCUGUACGGCUGAAGGCCGGAGGCUACGGAGCUUUAAAAUGGAGUGGAGAGGAGAAGAAGAAAAAAAUGUGUGUGUAUAUAAUAUAUAUAUAUAUAAUCAUAAACCCGAGAGAAGAGCACAAAUAUUCCCUUCAUUUCAUCAGUUAUAAAAAUAAAAUUUUAUAUUUUCCUUUUCUCAGUUAAUUUUUAAUCUUUAAUUUUUAUUUAUCUGUAAAUUAACACUGCAACGAAUCCAUCAUUUAGGUGUGUGUGUGUGUGUGUGUGUGUGUGUGAGAGAGAGAGAGAGAGGGAGAAAUCUUCGUAUGUAACGGAAUAUCCUGAAUAUUUAUCAGAACAUCCUGUUCACACGCUUGCGUCCGCGUGCAGAUUGCUUUACACGCCAAUGUCGUGCCCUUGAACGUGACGUUAUUAACGUGUUCGUCACGUCCGGCUUUUGUUUCUUCGCAGCCGCAACCUGCGAUUUAAAAACACGACACGGGUUGCUUUAAAGGUGCGGUGUGUCGUUUUUAAAAGUGUUUCCUAGACCUGGAGUGAUCUGAUAAGUUCAGCGCUAGCCUGUCCGCCGUUCACGUUAGCAGGAGCCGAGUGACUUGUAGCCUGUCUUGUGGGCGUGUAGCGAACCUCGUACCGUUAAACUUCGCAACCUCUACAGCCGUAAACAUACGUAAACAUAAUAUAACCCACGCAGUAAAAUGUGCUAGUUUCUGUUUACUUUUUUUUUUUUUUGGCCUAGAAGUGAGCUCCGCCUCCUGGAAGAACAUUCCUUAAAAGCAACUAUCAUGAGAAAGUCUGUUGGAAUUACAAUCUCGAGCAGCAGAGGGCGCUAAACCUCACAUACCGCACUGCACCUUUAAUCUGGAAUUAGUUUCUUCUUAAUGUUCCAGAUUUACUACCUGCUUCAUACCUAAUUUGAAUAAAAUUGACAAAACUUCAGUUCGGGUGUUAUUUCUGUGUGGUAAAACUUGACGAUUUCUUCUUUUCAAACUUCUGUUGAAUUUUUUCUGGCCCAGAAAGAACAUUCCUCAGAAACGAAACCACAACGAGGCGUUUGUAGAGUGGGCGGAGUCUGCUGACGGAUAAGACGAAGGCUUGUUAAAGUUUCCAUCGAAAUUAAAAUCAGCGGGCGCUUUAGCAGAGGGCGCUAAAAAUCACUCACUGCACCUUUAAUCCAGGUUGUUAGUUCAUUUAUAAUGUUGCAAACAACGUCUUGAAGACGCAGCCGGGGGAAAAAACGUCCGCAGAUUAACAAUGCCGGUUGUCGCUGUUGCGGUUGUUGUUGUUGUUUUUUCUUUACGUUAUGAAUAUGCAUACGCAUAUGCAAAUCGGACCGAUCUUAUAAACAGCGCUAUCAAGCUGUCGGAUUUUAAAUCUCAGCUCUUUUUUCUGUCCCGUAAACGAUACGGAGAUGUCCGUGUAGCCGCGUUCGAUAACGGCUCACUUUUAUCGGCGCACUCCAGUGUUUAAGUUGCGUGUAAAUCCGAUCUUUAAAGCAGGAAGUGGUAAUAUAUCGCCACUUUCACCCUCUCAGCUUCUCUAAUACUCUUUUUUUUUCCCGGAGCACAACCCACAGGAGGCUAAUAUCCGUUUACUGCCUCAUGCAUGUAUUUAUUCAACGCAUCAUUCAUCUCUUCCGCGGGGAAAAUAACGACUCGAGGUCAUCCCGCAUUCUUUAUUUGUUUAUCUCCCGCCCCCCCCCUUUCCUUUUAUCAUGGCCGAGGAGCGUAUCUGCCGGCUUCUCUAAUAUACAUGAGGCGGCCUCGUUCCUCGUUCCUCGUUCCAUUCCAGCGCAGAAGCACACUGUCUUUAUUAUUUAAUUAAGUCGGCGGGUCGUUACAUUAAUAAUUGAGUGUGUGAGGCCCUUUUCCUGGUGCAGAGUGCAUUAAAAAUGUGUGUAUUUAUGUCCCUGAGGGUGUGUGUGUGUGUGGGUGAGUGUGUGUGAGCUCGGUGCAUAAAAUUGAAUUGGUUAUAUCUAAUAUAUCCAGCCUCCCGAAGGACGAACGGAGAGACAACGACGAGAGAGAAAAGAGAGAGAGAGAGAGGGAGAAACAAACGGCGCGUGUCUCUCCUUCCCGAGACGAUCGAUCCGUGAUCCCACGUGUCUCUUAUCGACGUGAGGAUCAGCCCACAAUCCCGUAAUUACUAAAACGCAAAGUUCAUCAAUUAUAUAAAUAAAUAAGGUUCUAAUUAAACCGAGCUUCCAGAGAGAGAGAGGGAGAGAGGGAGAGAGAGAGAGAGAGAGGGAGAGAGAGAGGGAGAGAGAGACCUGUACGGCGGACGCUCUUCGUAAACGUGUAUCUAAACACACGUGUACGGAAGGAGUCUCCAGUGUUUACGCUGCCACGCCGUGAGCGAGAACGGAACAUUACAUGUAACUGUAAAGGGAUAAAAGGUACGAUGUGAAGUUCUCUCUUUAACAACUAAACAGUGUAAUCGUCACAACAUGGAGGCGUGUGGAGACACACACACACAUGCACACACACACACACACUCACACACACACACACACACUCACACACACACACACACGCACUCACAUAUACACACACACUCACACACACUCACUCAUACACACACACACACACACUCACACACACACACACACACACACACUCACACACACACACACGCACUCACAUAUACACACACACACACACACACUCACUCAUACACACACACACUCACACACACACACGCACACACGCACUCACACAUACACACACACUCACACACACUCACUCAUACACACACAUACACACACACACACACACACACACGCACUCACACAUACACACACACACACACACUCACACACACUCACUCAUACACACACACACACUCACACACACACACUCACUCAUACACACACACACUCACACACACACACACACACACACACACACACACACACACAUACACACACACACACACACACAGGAUAAGGACAGCCAGGAGUUCACUUCCUCUUAUCUUGUGACACUGAUAAAAGAAACACUGUGUGUGUGUGUGUCUGUCUGUGUAUAUGUGUUUGUGUGAAUGUGUGUGUCUAUGUGUGUCUGUGUGUGUGUGUGAGUGUGUGUGUGUGUGUGUGUGUGUGUCCUUUUUCUCUUAGACAUGGACCGAUCUACUCCUAGUUUUCCACACCGAGUGUGUAGAAUUGAAAUGUUAUAGACUGUUACUGUCAGAGUGUUAAAUGUGAUAUAUAGACCUGAGGGAGUGUGUAUGCAUGUGUGUGUGUGUGUGUAUGUGUGUGUGUGUGUGUGUGUGUGUGUGGAAGGUGCUCAUGGGAAAGCCGAGGCUAUCCAGCAUGUGUGAUGGCAGGGCAAUGUGGCGCGAGGUAAUGGCUUUAAGGCAACACACCAGAACCGUGUGUGUGUGUGUGUGUGUAUGUGUGUGUGUGUGUGUGUGUGUGUGUGUUAAUCCCUUUGUCAUCCGUCCCUCUUAAUGUGUGGAUCUAGAUGCAGUGACGCUUGCAGCGUGUGUGUGUGUGAGUGUGUGUGUAAAUGCGUGUAUGAGUGUGUACAUGUGUGUGUGUGUGUGUGUGUGUGUGUGUGUGUGAAAAGGUACAUGUGUGUGUGAGUGUGUGUGUACAUGUGUGUGGGUUUGUGAGUGUGUACAGGUGUGUGUGAGUGUGUGUGUAAAUGUGUGUGUGUGUGUGUGUGUGUGUGUGUGAGUGUGUACAUGUGUGUGUGUGUGAGUGUGUGUGUGUGUGAGUGUGUACAUGUGUGUGUGAUUGUGUGCCAGCUGGCUAGAGCAGGAGCGCAUUAAAGCUCACACUCACAGCAGGCACUACUGAUCUGAUAGAGCUGACGACACACACACACACACACGCACACACACACACACACACCGUGACACCCCACGGUGAGACGGCGCUGUGUUUGAGUGUUCCGCUCCAGACCCGCUUCUUUGCAUUCCUUUACUAAUUCUACAUGAAUAAUUAUUUAAAUGUAUUCGUAUUCACACUCAUUUGAAUAUUAAUGAGAUUAUAAUGAGAUUCUGAUGAACACACAGUGAGCUCUGUGUUCGUAUUAUAUAACUCUGAGUCUCGCUACAGGUAGGAGUCCAAACCCUGGUUCUGGUUCUAGUUCUGGUUCUAGUUUGGGUUCUGGUUCUACAUUGGGUUCUGUUGAAAACGGUUGGUUUGGGGUUCUCUUUAACAGAUCUGUGGUGUGUUCCACAUCAGGUGUGUCAGCUCUCUGCUCUGACGCUGCGAUGUGAUUGGUUCAACUUGCCACGUUACUUACUUCCUGUUUGAGGUUAGGCAGAUCAAUAGAUAGAUAGAUAGAUAGAUAGAUAGAUGACUUUAUUAAUCCCUGAAGAAAAUUCACACUUUUUUAUUUUACAAUAAUAAUACUGAGAUAUCGCAGGUAUUGCAAUAUAUAUGUUUUAAGUUUAAAUUGUUUUUUACAAAAAUAUUUACAAACUGAUCAGAAACAGUUUUGUAGUAAAUUUAUAACCAAUAACUUUUUUGUAGUAAACUUUAAAGAUGGUAAAAAUAAAUAAAUAAAUAAAUAAAUAAAACAUUAAAAAAUCCUCAUUGUUAAAUUAUUUAUUUAUUUGUUUAUUUUUAUAUAAACUUUAUAGAUAUGUUUACAUUUUUCUUUAAACACAACACUUUAAACGCAGUUUUGCAAGACGCUUCUUGGCCAACCUUUUGUGAUUUUUUGUCAUAUAGCGUAUUCCUAAUAUAUGUAAAUAUGUAAAUUUUAUGCGAAAGUGAGCUUCCUCUUGAAUGUAGCCGAAUAAAGGUACAAAAUGAAAAAAGUUAAAAAAAAAAAAAAAGGCUUGUUAUCACGUCAGCUGAGCCGCUCGAUAACAGGCCGUCAUUGACCCGGUAAUGGCCUCGGUUGCCAUGGCAACACUGUCUCUGUAAUAAAAAGCCGGACGUUUUAACAUUUCUAAAUAAAACUUUAAAAUAAAAAUAGGAAUAAACAGAACUCGGUGUGAGAAACCCUGCAGCGGACGUGAAGCUCGCCUGCUGGAGGAAGCGAUAAAUAACUCGGAGUUUUAUAAACCGCUCUCACAGUUUUAAAGUCCUGUUCUAUAACGUUUAAAAUGUCACCAGGGGGCCAUAACUCGGGGGGGACACAAAAAAACCCCAACCCUGCCAGUGUGUCACUUCCUCCUGCGGGGUGUAAUAAAGUUUUAUACGUUUGAACAGAGCGCGAGACGACGAC
ensembl:lncRNA